rnacentral:rRNA from 1 species
GAUGAACGCUGGCGGCGUGCCUAAUACAUGCAAGUCGAGCGAACAGACGAGGAGCUUGCUCCUCUGACGUUAGCGGCGGACGGGUGAGUAACACGUGGAUAACCUACCUAUAAGACUGGGAUAACUUCGGGAAACCGGCGCUAAUACCGGAUAAUAUAUUGAACCGCAUGGUUCAAUAGUGAAAGACGGUUUUGCUGUCACUUAUAGAUGGAUCUGCGCCGCAUUAGCUAGUUGGUAAGGUAACGGCUUACCAAGGCAACGAUGCGUAGCCGACCUGAGAGGGUGAUCGGCCACACUGGAACUGAGACACGGUCCAGACUCCUACGGGAGGCAGCAGUAGGGAAUCUUCCGCAAUGGGCGAAAGCAUGACGGAGCAACGCCGCGUGAGAUAUGAAGGUCUUCGGAUCGUAAAACUCUGUUAUGAGGGAAGAACAAAUGUGUAAGUAACUAUGCACGUCUUGACGGUACCUAAUCAGAAAGCCACGGCUAACUACGUG